rfam:Neotoma lepida isolate 417 scaffold_4004, whole genome shotgun sequence.
GGGAAACAGAUGGAAGGGCCAGCUCCAGGCCCUGAAAAAAUAGGUCU